CCUACGGGCGGCAGCAGUAGGGAAUAUUGCUCAAUGGGGGAAACCCUGAAGCAGCAACGCCGCGUGGAGGAUGAAGGUUUUCGGAUUGUAAACUCCUUUUGUUAGAGAAGAUAAUGACGGUAUCUAACGAAUAAGCACCGGCUAACUCCGUGCCAGCAGCCGCGGUAAUACGGAGGGUGCAAGCGUUACUCGGAAGCACUGGGCGUAAAGAGCGCGUAGGCGGGAUAGCAAGUCAGAUGUGAAAUCCUAGGGCUUAACCAUAGAACGGCAUUUGAAACUGUUAUUCUAGAGUAUGGGAGAGGUAGGUGGAAUUCUUGGUGUAGGGGUAAAAUCCGUAGAGAUCAAGAGGAAUACUCAUUGCGAAGGCGACCUGCUAGAACAUAACUGACGCUGAUGCGCGAAAGCGUGGGGAGCAAACAGGAUUAGAUACCCGAGUAGUC
rnacentral:rRNA from 1 species